rnacentral:rRNA from 1 species
UUGCAUAUCCAAUUUUGGUCUUAGUUUAUUCUAAGUUCUUUUUAAUAAGUAAACCAAAUUGAGUAAUUUUUAUUUAAUUAAAAAUUCGUUUACA